rnacentral:lncRNA from 1 species
AUUAGCUGGGCGUGGUGGCACAUGCUUGUAAUCUCAGCUACUUGGGAGGCUGAGACAGGAGAAUCGCUUGAACCUGGGAGGCAGAGGUUGCGGUGAGCUGAGAUUGUGCCAUUGCACUCCAGCCUGGGCAACAAGAGCAAAGCUCCAUCUCGAGAAAAAAAAGAAAAAGAAAAAGAAAAGAAAAUGCACAGAUAAGUACUCAAACCCUUGAAACACAGGCAGCAAGUAUAGGAAAAGCCAUAAGUGGACUCCAGGUCUCCCUGUACUCCCUAGCCAAUGUUGCCUUAGAGAGCAGAUUGGCUCUAGACUAUCUUCUGGCUGAACAAUGAGGAGUAUGUGUGGUAGUAAGUCACACCUGUUGUUCUUAUGUUAACAAUUCAGGGAUAAUUGAACUGCAAGUUCCAAAUAUCUGCCAAGGCCAAGCACAGUGGCUCACAUCUGUAAUCCCAGUACUUUGGGAGGCCAAGGUAGGAGGAUCACCUGAGCCCAGGAGUUUGAGACCAGCCUGAGCAAUACAGUGAGACUGUGUCUCUAUGAAAAAUAAAUUUAAAAAAAUAGCUGGGCAGGGUAGUGUGCGCCCGUGGUCCCAGCUACUUGGAAGGCUGAGGCAGGAGGGUUGCUUGAGCCUGAGAGAUCGAGGCAGCAGUGAGCAUGAUCAUGCCACUGCACUCCAGCUUGGGUCACAGAGUGAGACCUUGUCUCAAAAAAGAAAAAAAAAAAGAUUUACUAGCAGGCCACCUGGCUACAUAAUUUUACUAACCCCACCAGUCAAACCAUCUGAGACUCCAUCAAAGGAUACCUACCAAGUACGACAUGGUUUUUACUCUUACUAUGGCCUUUAAUAGCUCUGUUACCACUGAUCUUUGGCCCUUGCUUGUUUAACCUCUUAGUAAAGUUUGUGUCUUCUAGAUUACAUAAAUUGCAUGUGAAGAUGUCACAAGGCUUCCAACCCAUCCCAUCUUCUGACCCAGAAAAUAAAGACAUCCUGCUUUGGGCCCCUUAUAUCAGGGUAUCUUCUUCCAAAAUUGGAACUGAGCUACCUGAUGGAAAAUGAGCAAGAUUAUUGUGUGGUGAAGAGAGACCUCUCGUAAAGUUCCUGUCCAGAUGCGCCUUCUCUCUGGAUCCACAUUUCUUC